rnacentral:rRNA from 1 species
UCGAGAAUCUUCGGCAAUGGGCGCAAGCCUGACCGAGCGACGCCGCGUGGAGGAUGAAGGCCUUCGGGUUGUAAACUCCUGUCGAGGGAGAGGAAGGCCGCGCGAAGAGCGCGGCUUGACCGACCCCUGGAGGAAGCACGGGCUAAGUUCGUGCCAGCAGCCGCGGUAAGACGAACCGUGCGAACGUUAUUCGGAAUCACUGGGCUUAAAGCGCGUGUAGGCGGGCCGGCACGUCGGUCGCUGAAAUCCCCCGGCUCAACCGGGGAACGGGCGCCGAUACGACCGGCCUGGAGGGACGUAGGGGGACCUGGAACUUCCGGUGGAGCGGUGAAAUGCGUUGAGAUCGGAAGGAACGCCCGUGGCGAAAGCGAGGUCCUGGACGUCUGCUGACGCUGAGACGCGAAAGCCAGGGGAGCAAACGGGAUUAGAUACCCCUGUAGUCC